ensembl:lncRNA
CUGACCUCUGGUUUCAUCGGUUCCCUCUGCUCUCUACUCUCUGUCUCCCUCAUCAGCUCGAGUCUGACUGUUUUCUCCUUUCCACUGACUUUGAGUUAGGGUUGCUCUUCUUUUUCUGGUUCCUCACUGUUUUAACUUUAUUGGUUUGAGAUUUUUCUUCUUUUAAACUGCAGAUGUUUCCGCCCAUGUAAACUGGUAUGCUGCAUUUUCAUUUUCAGGGACUUCCAUCUUUCACAAAACUUUAUAUCUGGACUUUAUCAUCGAGCAUGGUUUGAGGCAGGCACGCAUCCCACGUCAGUGUUCUAGUAUCUGAAGAGUGCUUUCUGUUCUCCGUCAUCUGCGCAGCUGCCUCUGUUCUAUGCAGCAUUCCCUGAACGACUGCCUGUGUUUCCCAGGCUCCGUGUUUAAGCCACACCUGUGGAUGCGUGGUUAAGGCGUGGGUGCCCUCUGUGCCCGGGCACGUCUUCUGUACCAAGUCUAAUCAGUUUCUGUUUCGAGUCUUUCACGUCUUUGUAAAACUCACAGUUUCCAGGCUCCAUCUUCUGCACCAGCUGGAGCCUGCCUGACCCCGGAUUUUGUCCUUAAUACACUGCUGUCCACAAGGCAACGGGCCUCCCCCCUGUCCUUCUGCCUCUGUCCCUUCCUCCCCAUCCUUACCUGGAAGUCCCAGGGGAGAGGCUGGGCUCAGGGAGGGGAGGCCUGGGACCACCGAGUCUGGAAGAAACCCAGCCUCCUCAACCCCGGCCAUUGCUUGCUAAGCCACACAGCAUCUUGAGGGAGACGUCUGGCUUUAGGCAGCUGGAGGUCAUAGAGUGAGGUUCAGAUUCUUUGAGGUUCUCAGGCAGAAGAUCAGCAGAGCAAGGUGGGGCUGGACCAGAGUUUGGGUCUGUCAGAACCAGGCUCAGAAACUGAGGAGGAAUCCAGGUGUGGGACAAUCAUGGUGUGGGCUCCCUGGUGUGAGCUAAGCCACAGGAGCCCAGGUGUACCCCAAGGCGAGGUGGAAGCCUUGUUGUCCUGGGCCCUGAGGGGGGCCUUGAAGGUGGCUGGGAGGUGCUCGGUCAGCGCUGGUUAUCAGAGCCGCCAGCACCACGGACAGCGUCCCCCUGCCUGGGCAGAGGGUUUUCCUGGUGCGUCCCUGAGUAGCCGGGGGAUGGCAGAUCCCGGACGACUGAUGCUGUGAGAUGUGCACACACUGCCACUCACAGACACUCACACCUGUGACUCAAGUACCGCGUGGGGACAGUCAGGACACACGCGCGCCAUCUGCACGGUCGGGGUGGGCUGGACCAGACACAGUCACGGCCUGACCGCCUUACACACACAUGUGCAGGUCCGCCCCAGUGCACCGUGGGUCACUGCACUUAAAAUGAACUUCCCUGACACUAGACUAAAGCUGAAGCGCAC